AUUAAAUUGUAAAAAUGGCCCAUAAUACUUUAUUUUAAGAUAAAGUUUUAUUCUUGUUUAGAAUCUUGUUAUUUGAAUAAUUUAUAUGUAAAUUUAUGUGAGAGGAAAGAAAUAUCUAAAGGGUUAUUUGAGUUAAUCGCAGUAUUUAAUUUUGAAUAUCAAGGUGAUUUGGAAUUAGUAAUUUAAUAUAUGAUUGGUUAAAGUCGUGCCAGCUACCGCGGUUAUACGUAGAAUAGAAAUGAGAUUUAUUAGUUGAGAGUUGAUUUAUUAAAUUAAGAGAAAUUGAUAAUUUUAGGGUAGAAUUUAAAAUUAUUUAUGUUUAUAAUAGUUAAAUGAGGCUUUGAAAAUUAAUUAUUAAACUAGGAUUAGAUACCCUAUUAUUUUAAUUGUAAAUAAGGGGCUGGGGUAGUAUUAGUUAAGAUCUUGAAACUCAAAGAAUUUGGCGGUGCUUUAGUCUUUUCAGAGGAAUCUGUCCUGUAAUUGAUAGUACACAUUAGAUGUUACCUAAUUUUGUAGAAUCAAUUUGUAUACCGCCGUCAUAAGAAUAUCUUUUUAGAGAAUUAAUGUUCUAAUUAUUAAUAAAAUAAUAUGUCAGGUCAAGGUGCAGUUAAUAGUUAGGAAGAGAUGGAUUACAAUAAGAUUAUUUAUAAUGGAUUUUAUAAUGUAAUUUGUAAAUGAAGGUGGAUUUGAAGGUAAUAUUAUUAUAUUAUGAUAAUAUGAUUUAAGCGCUGAGGCAUGCACACAUCGCCCGUCACUCUCGUUAUUAAGAUGAGAUAAGUCGUAACAUAGUAGAUGUACUGGAAAGUGUAUCUAGUAAGU
rnacentral:ncRNA from 1 species